rnacentral:rRNA from 1 species
GACGAACGCUGGCGGCGUGCUUAACACAUGCAAGUCGAACGGUGAAAGCGGAGCUUGCUCCGCUGGAUCAGUGGCGAACGGGUGAGUAACACGUGGGCAACCUGCCCCUCACUUCGGGAUAACUCCGGGAAACCGGGGCUAAUACCGGAUAUGACCUCCUUGGGCAUCCUUGGAGGUGGAAAGUUUUUCGGUGAGGGAUGGGCCCGCGGCCUAUCAGCUUGUUGGUGAGGUAGUGGCCCACCAAGGCGACGACGGGUAGCCGGCCUGAGAGGGUGAACGGCCACACUGGGACUGAGACACGGCCCAGACUCCUACGGGAGGCAGCAGUGGGGAAUAUUGCGCAAUGGGCGAAAGCCUGACGCAGCAACGCCGCGUGCGGGAUGACGGCCUUCGGGUUGUAAACCGCUUUCAGCAGGGAAGAAGCCGCAAGGUGACGGUACCUGCAGAAGAAGCACCGGCUAACUACGUGCCAGCCGCCGCGGUAA